CGGACGGGUGAGUAACGCGUGAGGAACCUACCUUGGAGAGGGGAAUAACACUCCGAAAGGAGUGCUAAUACCGCAUGAUGCAGUUGGGUCGCAUGGCUCUGACUGCCAAAGAUUUAUCGCUCUGAGAUGGCCUCGCGUCUGAUUAGCUAGUAGGCGGGGUAACGGCCCACCUAGGCGACGAUCAGUAGCCGGACUGAGAGGUUGACCGGCCACAUUGGGACUGAGACACGGCCCAGACUCCUACGGGAGGCAGCAGUGGGGAAUAUUGGGCAAUGGGCGCAAGCCUGACCCAGCAACGCCGGGUGAAGGAAGAAGGCUUUCGGGUUGUAAACUUCUUUUGUCGGGGACGAAACAAAUGACGGUACCCGACGAAUAAGCCACGGCUAACUACGUGCCAGCAGCCGCGGUAAUACGUAGGUGGCAAGCGUUAUCCGGAUUUACUGGGUGUAAAGGGCGUGUAGGCGGGAUUGCAAGUCAGAUGUGAAAACUGGGGGCUCGACCUCCAGCCUGCAUUUGAAACUGUAGUUCUUGAGUGCUGGAGAGGCAAUCGGAAUUCCGUGUGUAGCGGUGGAAUGCGU
rnacentral:rRNA from 1 species